rnacentral:lncRNA from 1 species
CCAUGAUGGGCUUCCAAGUGACUACUCCUCCAUCACAGAUUUUAAAGUGCUCACAGUGAUUUCAUACCACUGAGUCACAGAAUCAUUCAGAUUCCUUGGAUACUUCAAGCCCUGUGCACGAGGGUUCACCCAUGACUGCUCAUUCCUGGAGGAGCAUCCUGGAUUCCUGUUGACCCCUGCAUGGGCCUGGCUCAGGACAGGCUCCUUGCCGGCCACUUUGGCCCACACUGCUCCUUUCCGUCCAUCACAAAACUCAUCCUGCUCCCAGAUACUGCUUUCAUCUCAUUAAUUUCUUGCUUGCUGGAGCACACAGAGGAUCUUAACCCCUCUGCAGCAAGGAUUCCA